rnacentral:rRNA from 1 species
CCUUAGUUGCCAUCAUUUAGUUGGGCACUCUAGGGAGACAAACCCUCUUUGAGGGUGGGAAGGUGGGGACGACGUCAAGUCAGGAUGGCCCUUACGGUUUGGGCUGCACACGUGCUACAAUGCCUGGUACAGAGGGAAGCAAUACCGCGAGGUGGAGCAAAUCCUCAAAACCAGGCCCAGUUCGGAUUGUAGUCUGCAACUCGACUACAUGAAGUUGGAAUCGCUAGUAAUGGCGCAUCAGCUACGGCGCCGUGAAUACGUUCCCGGGCCUUGUACACACCGCCCGUCACGUCAUGAAAGCCGGUUUU